AUUCUAGUAGCUAUCAACAAAGCAUUGGUCUUGUAAACCAAAGACUGAAGACUAUAAUCUUCCUAGAAUA
rnacentral:tRNA from 1 species